AACCAAGUGAAGGCAACAAGUCUUGACAGUGCUGUUGGGAUCGUCACACUCUCACACUUGGUUCCCGGAUAAGAGCUUUAGCUGACUUUGACUUCGUAACAUCGCGAGGCCGUUUGACCAAAGUUUUAUGCACACCUUACGAAGG